rnacentral:piRNA from 1 species
UAACUUGAGUGGGACAGCCGAACCUGGA